rnacentral:rRNA from 1 species
AGAAUCAACGCUGGCGGCGUGCCUAACACAUGCAAGUCGAACGAGAAAGUGGAGCAAUCCAUGAGUAAAGUGGCGCACGGGUGAGUAACACGUGACUAACCUACCCUUGAGUGGGGGAUAACCUAGGGAAACCUGGGCUAAUACCGCAUAAUACCUUCGGGUCAAAGGAGCAAUUCGCUUAAGGAGGGGGUCGCGGCCGAUUAGUUAGUUGGCGGGGUAAUGGCCCACCAAGACUGUGAUCGGUAUCCGGCUUGAGAGGGCGCGACGGAACGACGACCUGGAACGUGAAACACGGUCCAGACUCCUACGGGAGGCAGCAGUGGGGAAUUUGCGCAAUGGGGGAAACCCUGACGCAGCAACGCCGCGUGGAGGAUGAAGUCCCUUGGGACGUAAACUCCUUUCGAUCGGGACGAUUAUGACGGUACCGGAAGAAGAAGCCCCGGCUAACUUCGUGCCAGCAGCCGC